rnacentral:lncRNA from 1 species
UACUACCAUUUCAAUUCCUGACUACAAUCCCUUUCCCCUAGUAGCUCUAUUAUUAUAGGAAUAAGUAGACAAUAUACGACUGCUCCACACCAAUCUCAGUUUUGACCACACUUCAGAUUUUCAAAAUUUGUGACCAAAACCUCUUCAGUCUUCUGGCUUGGCCACCCUCAUUACUUCCUGUGUUCAAGGAAUUUGAUCUCCAGUAAAGAAGACAAAAUCAAAGUACAGGGAAGUAAAUAAUAACUAGGAUAUCAAUAGAGCUUUUAGUUUUGCAUUUCAUCCUUAAAAUAAUGCUAUAACAUUACCAUCCCCAUUAUAGAUAAGAUGGAGAGAAGUUCUGUGACUUGUCUAUGAUCAUACAACUAGUGUCUAGUAUGGUAUUUGAAUUCGGGUCUUGCUGAAAUAAGUGAUCUUCCCAG